AUGGACGUAGCGCAGGAAGCGCAACAAAUAACAGGGACACGUAGGGAUGCCUGCCAGGAUGGCGGGAAGAAAAGGAAGUCAGGGAAACCAACUGUAAAGCCCCGCCUCGGCGGGGCUUU
rnacentral:sRNA from 1 species